rnacentral:rRNA from 1 species
AUUGAACGCUGGCGGCAGGCCUAACACAUGCAAGUCGAGCGGAGCGGCGGACGGGUGAGUAAUGCCUAGGAAUCUGCAUGGUAGUGGGGGAUAACGUUCGGAAACGGGCGCUAAUACCGCAUACUAUCAGAUGAGCCUAGGGCGGAUUAGCUAGUUCGUGGGGUAAAGGCCUACCAAGGCGACGAUCCGUAACUGGUCUGAGUGGAGGAUCGGUCACACUGGAAGUGAGACACGGUCCAGACGCCUACGGGAGGCGGCAGUGGUGAAUAGUGGACAAUGGGCGAAAGCCUGAGCCAGCCAUGCGGGGUGUGUGAAGAAGGUCUUCGGAUUGUAAGGCACUUUAAGUUGGGAGGCGUUACCAUCAGAAUAAGCACCGGCUAACUUCGUGCCAGCCGCCGCGGUAAUUG